rnacentral:rRNA from 1 species
UUUUGCGCAAUGCACGAAAGUGUGACGCAGCAACGCCGCGUGGGGGAAGAAGGCUCUCGGGUCGUAAACCCCUUUCAGUUGGGCCCAAGCUUCGUCGGUUAAUAGCCGGCUGGAGUGACGGUACCUUCACAAGAAGCACCGGCUAACUACGUGCCAGCAGCCGCGGUAAUACGUAGGGUGCAAGCGUUGUCCGGAAUCAUUGGGCGUAAAGAGCGUGUAGGCGGCCCGAUUAGUCCGCUGUGAAAGUCCAGGGCUCAACCCUGGAAUGCCGGUGGAUACUGUCGGGCUCGAGUCCGGAAGAGGCGAGUGGAAUUCCUGGUGUAGCGGUGAAAUGCGCAGAUAUCAGGAAGAACACCAACGGCGAAGGCAGCUCGCUGGGCGGUACGAUGCUAGACGCGAAA